CUCAUCGCCUUCGAGUUUUCUCUCUCGGCAGCCAUGGCGGACGACGACGGACGGGAACGGAUGACCGGCGAUUAACACAGGGUAAUAGGGUAUCCGGACCGGAAUCAAAGGUGACUCCGUGGACAUUCACAAGAAUGGGGGCUCGUGACAGCAAAACAGAUCCCUCGCUUGAGACAGGCAGACAGCGCUCACCAACCACAAGCACAACAAUCUCAUCCCUAGCAUCAACAUUGCAGGCAGUUUACACACAGGCAAUGGGAGAAUGGGGCUGUGGUUUAUUUAACACUUUGGCAUUUUGUCUGAAGGUACAUCGUACCAGGUGGAGGAGAUUCCACCAUCUCCCCAGUAA